rnacentral:lncRNA from 1 species
UUCAAACAUCCUUUUUUCUUAUCCAACUAUUACUCACCUUGGAGUUAUUUCUCUUCUCCUGCUUGUACUUAUCCAUGUACUGCUCCUUCAAUACAUUAUGGUUCACUUGAAUCCUCACCAUCUCAAUCCUUUCUCAUAUUUCAAUUCAUUCUCCUCAUUCAUGUCUUCAACUUCUCUUUCAUCUUCUUCAUCUACAUGUAAUCCAUCUUAUUCCACAUUCCAAAAUUUUAAAAAUGCUCAAUUUCAUUAGUCAAAAAUUUCUUCUAUCUCCACUUCACCUCCUUCAAAAUUAAUAUCUUCAAUCCAACAAAAAUUCACCUUGAAGUUUUUCCUUUUCUCCUCCUACAGCUCAUCCUUAUACUGCACCUUCAAUUCUUCAUGUUUUCCUCCUUUCCCCCUUCAUCACAUUCAAACACCACUUUCUACUUAUCCAUGUACUACUCCUUCAAUACAUUAUGGUUGAUUUGAAUCCUCACAAUCUCCUACUCAUUCCCAUGUUUCACUUCUUUCUCUUCAUUCACCUUCACCGGCUUCUCUUUCUCUUUCUCCAUCCCAAUAAUCCAUCUCUUCAACCACUUUCUAAAUCUGUAGAGAAGUUAAAUUCCACGAGUCCAAAUUUUCGUCUUACACCACCUCACCUCCUUCAAACAUCCUUUUUACUUAGCCAACUAUUACUCACCUUGGAGUUAUUUCUCUUCUCCUCCUAGUACUUAUCCAUGUACUGCUCCUUCUAUACAUUAUGGUUCAUUUGAAUCAUCACCAUCUCCUACUCUUUCCCAUGUUUCACUUACUUCUUCUCAUUCACCUCACCAACUUCUCUUUCAUCUUCUUCCUAUCCAAGUAAUCCAUCUUAUUCCACUUUCCCAAUUUUAAAGUUGCUCAAUUUCAUUAGUCUAAAAUUCCAUCUAUCUCCACUUCACCUCCUUCAAAAUUAAUAUCUACUAUCCAACUAAUAUUCAACUUGAAAAUAUUCUUCUUCACCUCUUACAGUUCAUCCCUAUACUGCUCCUUCAAUUCUUAAAUGUUUCAAUUAAAUCCUCACAAUCUCCUACUUCUUCCAAUGUUUCACUUUCAUCUCCUCAUUCACCUUCACCAAUUUCUUUUUCUACUUCUUCCUCCCUAACAAAUCCAUAUUAUUCCACUUUCAAAUUCUCUACAGAUAUUCUUCUUCAGCAAUCCAAAUUAACUACUUUCUCCACUUCACGUCCUUAAAAAAUAACUACUUAAACAAUUAAUAUUCACUUUCAAUAUUUUCCUCUAACCGUCCUACUGCUCAUCUUUUUACUGCCCUCCCAAUUCUUAAUGGUUCACUUCAAUCCUCACCAUCUCUAACUUUUUCCCAUGUUUCACUUCCUUCUCUUCAUUCAUCUUUACCAGCUUCUCUUUCUUCUUCUCCAUCCCCAUCUAUUUCAUCCCUUAUACCACUAUCUAAAUCUAUAGAGAAGUUAAAUUCCAAGAGUCCACAUUUUCUUCUUUCACCACUUCACCACAUUCAAACAUCCAUUUUUCUUAUCCAACUAUUACUCACCUUGGAGUUAUUUCUCUUUUCCUGCUACUACGUAUCCAUGUACUGCUCCUUCAAUACAUUAUGGUUCAUUUGAAUCCUCACCAUCUCCUACUCUUUCCCAUGUUUCACUUCCAACUCCUCAUUCACCUCACCAUCUUCUCUUUCAUCUUGUUGCUUUCCAUGUAAUCCAUAUUAUUCCACUUUCCCAAAUUUUAAAGAUGCUUAAUUUCAUUAAUCCAAAAUUUCUUCUAUCUCCACUUCACCUCCUUCAAAAUUAAUAUCUUCCAUCCAACUAAUAUUCACCUUGAAGUUAUUCCUUUUCUCCUCCUACAGCUCAUCCUUAUACUGCUCCUUCAAUUCUUAAUGUUUCAAUUGAAUACUCACCAUCUCCUACUAUUUCCUAUGUUUCACUUUCAUCUCCCCAUUCACCUUCACCAACUUCUCUUUCUUCUUCUUCCUCCCUAACUAAUCCAUCUUAAUCCACUUUCAAAGUCUCUACAGAUAUUCUUUUUCAGAAAUCCAAAUUAACUACUUUCUCCACUUCACGUCCUUAAAAAACAAACUUCUUUACCAAUUAUUAUUCACCUUCAAGAUAUUCCACUAACCCUUCCACUGUUCAUCUUUUUACUGCUCCCACAAUUCAUAAUGGUUCACUUGAAUCCACGCUAUCUCUAACUUUUUCCCAAGUUUCACUUCCUUCUCUUCAUUUACGUUCACCAGCUUCUCUUUCUUUUUCUCCAUCCCCAUCUAAUCCAUCUCGUCUACCACUUCCUAAAUUUGUAGAGAAGUUCACUUCAAAGAGUCCAAAUUUCCUUCUUUCACGACUUCACCUCAUUCAAACAUCUCUUUUUCUUAUCCAACUAUUACUCACCUUCGAGUUAUUUCUCUUCUCCUGCUAGUACUUAUCCAUGUACUGCUCCUACAAUACAUUAUGGUUCAUUUGAAUCCUCACCAUCGCCCACUCUUUCCCAUCUUUCACUUCUUUCUCCUCAUUCACCUCACCAACUUCUCUUUCAUCUUCUUCCUUUCCAUUAACUCCA